CCUACGGGUGGCAGCAGUGAGGAAUAUUGGUCAAUGGGCGCUAGCCUGAACCAGCCAAGUAGCGUGAAGGAUGACUGCCCUACGGGUUGUAAACUUCUUUUAUAUGGGAAUAAAGUGCAGCAUGUAUACUUUUUUGUAUGUACUUUAUGAAUAAGGAUCGGCUAACUCCGUGCCAGCAGCCGCGGUAAUACGGAGGAUCCGAGCGUUCUCCGGAUUUAUUGGGGUUAAAGGGAGCGUAGAUGGGUUGUUAAGUCAGUUGUGAAAGUUUGCGGCGCAACCGUAAAAUUGCAGUUGAUACUGGCAGCCUGGAGUACAGUUGAGGUAGGCGGAAUUCGUGGUGUAGCGGUGAAAUGCUUAGAUAUCACGAAGAACUCCGAUUGCGAAGGCAGCCUACUAAACUGCAACUGACACUGAUGCUCGAAAGUGUGGGUAUCAAACAGGAUUAGAUACCCUUGUAGUC
rnacentral:rRNA from 1 species